rnacentral:rRNA from 1 species
CCAGACUCCUACGGGAGGCAGCAGUGGGGAAUAUUGCACAAUGGGGGAAACCCUGAUGCAGCGACGCCGCGUGAGCGAAGAAGUAUUUCGGUAUGUAAAGCUCUAUCAGCAGGGAAGAAAUUGACGGUACCUGAGUAAGAAGCUCCGGCUAAAUACGUGCCAGCAGCCGCGGUAAUACGUAUGGAGCAAGCGUUAUCCGGAUUUACUGGGUGUAAAGGGAGCGUAGGCGGCCUGCCAAGUCUGAUGUGAAAUACCGGGGCUCAACCCCGGGGCUGCAUUGGAAACUGGCAGGCUGGAGUGUCGGAGAGGCAGGCGGAAUUCCUAGUGUAGCGGUGAAAUGCGUAGAGAUCGGGAGGAACACCAGUGGCGAAGGCGGCCUACUGGGCCUUAACUGACGCUGAAGCACGAAAGCGUGGGUAGCAAACAGGAUUAGAUACCCGGGUAGG